CGGCCAGACUCCUACGGGAGGCAGCAGUGGGGAAUAUUGCACAAUGGGGGAAACCCUGAUGCAGCAACGCCGCGUGAGUGAAGAAGUCAUUCGUGAUGUAAAGCUCUAUCAGCAGGGAAGAAAAUGACGGUACCUGACUAAGAAGCCCCGGCUAACUACGUGCCAGCAGCCGCGGUAAUACGUAGGGGGCAAGCGUUAUCCGGAUUUACUGGGUGUAAAGGGAGCGUAGACGGCAGUGCAAGUCCGGAGUGAAAGCCCGGGGCUCAACCCUGGGACUGCUCUGGAAACUGUAAAGCUGGAGUGCGGGAGGGGCAGGCGGAAUUCCUGGUGUAGCGGUGAAAUGCGUAGAUAUCAGGAGGAACACCGGCGGCGAAGGCGGCCUGCUGGACCGUAACUGACGUUGAGGCUCGAAAGCGUGGGGAGCAAACAGGAUUAGAUACCCCAGUA
rnacentral:rRNA from 1 species